rnacentral:rRNA from 1 species
AUUGAACGCUGGCGGCAGGCUUAACACAUGCAAGUCGAGCGAGCGGCGGACGGGUGAGUAAUGUCUGGGAAACUGCCUGCUGGAGGGGGAUAACUACUGGAAACGGUAGCUAAUACCGCAUACUAUCAGAUGCGCCCAGAUGGGAUUAGCUAGUGGGUGGGGUAAUGGCUCACCUAGGCGACGAUCCCUAGCGGGUCUGAGAGGAUGACCAGCCCCACUGGAACUGGGACACGGUCCAGACUCCUACGGGAGGCAGCAGUGGGGAAUAUUGGACAAUGGGGGAAAGCCUGAUGCAGCCAUGCCGCGUGUGGGAAGAAGGCCUUCGGGUUGUAAAGCACUUUCAGCGAGGAGGCGGUACUCGCAGAAGAAGCACCGGCUAACUCCGUGCCAGCAGCCGCGGUAAUAC